rnacentral:rRNA from 1 species
GGGUUUUGUAUAAGCGUCUCCCGUGACCUAAGGGUACAAAGUGUUGCGGGCGUGCCAGUGUACAAAGUACACAAAUAUAAAAAGAGGAAAAGAAAAAGUGAGGUCUACUGGCGCGGCCAAGGGAUCAAGCGAUCAUGGUCUCCUGGUUCCCAAGGGCCUCGGAAAGCCCCCGGUUAAUUACUCCCGCAGAUAGCACCGCAGGACACCUCCGAUUAAGCUGCGCAGUCAUCGUUCUUCGGUCUUCGCUUCGCGUUCCACAUGCAUGGUGGUGGUUUGUGUAUGGCGGCGGCAGAGUCCGUGUACGGAGUGGUACACGCGCCGUCGAAAACGUGGCCGUUGCUCCGGCCACGCCCGCCUACGCAGUCUUGCCUCGUCGGCCUUGAGCGGCGUCGAUGUGGUUGCUGAAGUAGCAUGGAUGGUUGGGCUUGGCUUGGACGUCGUCCAUGACGUUGUAGAUUCGGCGGGAGUGCGAGGGCUAUGCCCCGCGGGAGUAGAUCUUGAACGGAAAAGAAGGAAUGGAUGGACGUGCAACACAUGGAGUGCGCACACCCGUCGAUGACCGCCUACACCGCCGCCAAAUAGCGGAGGAAGUCGCCACCUGGUGCCGUUCGAUGUGGCCGGCAGUGGUAGAUGGGCCGCACGCCAAUGAGCGUGGCACCGACACGGAGUGCCGACGGUGACGCUGAGCCCAUCUCCAUGAUGGAUGCGUCCGAACCGGGAGCCGCUAGACUAGACAUGAGCGGACCCGGCACGUGUGACACGUGUUCGUGCCGACGAAGAGGGAGGCUGCCAGAUACGCCUAAGAGUGUCCCGACCCCAAGCGGACGAUGUCUCCGCCGCCAUAGUUACGACGAGUCAUCGUGACUCGUCGAGCGCCGCGCCGCCUCCAUGGUUACGAUGAGUCAUCGUGACUCGGCAAACGUCACGCCACCGCCAGCGCGUUGAACAUUCCAUGUCGCCGAGUCCCGGCCAGCCCAUGGCGCCUCCAUGGACCGGCGAGGCAGCGGCGAAGGAAACCUGGCGACGCGGCGAAGCCUCGCCCAGGCGCCGCGAAUGGGUGUAGGUAGAAGGGGUGGCGCACUAGAUGGCGCCGAGUCGAGAUGCAUGUCGACGAGUCCCGGCCAGCCCAUGGCGCCUCCAUGGACCGGUGAGACGGGGCGCAUAAGGCCUCGCGAUGCGGCGGUGCCUCGCCCAGGCGUCGCCGAUGGUGUAAGUAGAAGGGGGCGCACUAGAGUGCGCCGAGUCGAACGAUGUGUGCCUCCGAGUCCCGGCACGAUGGUGUUGCUGGCAGACUCGGCGAUGGAGGGUGCGCGGGAGACCGCGCAUGGUCGACGGCCCCGGUACGUCGUCCUCAUGUGCGGAGAGUGCGCCGGGGGCGCGCGUGGGCGGCAGCCCCGACACGUUGUCGCCAUCUUCGCCGUAGUUGUCGUCUUACGCCGAGAGUGCGUCGAGGGCGCCCACCCCCGGCAUGUCGUCGCUGAUGGUGUGUCCGGCAUGGAAGGACCGCCGGGGGCUGCACACGGAGGGCAACACCGGCGCGUCGUCGCCGGUGGUGAGUCCGGCAUGAAGGGGUCGCCGGGGGCUGCACAUGAAAGACAACCCCGACAUGUUGUCGCCAGUGAUGAGUCUGACGUGAGGGGGUCACCGGGGGCUGCACGCGAAAGGCAACCCCGACGCGUUAUCGCCAGUCAUGAGUCCGGCAUGAAGUGUUCGCGGGGGGUUGCACAUGAAGGGCAGCCCGGCGCGUCGUCGCUGGUAGUGAGUCCGGCGUGAUGGGAUCGCCGGGGGCUGCACAUGAAGGGCAACCCCGGCGUGUCGUCUUCAAGAGCAUCGAGAGCCAACGUCGGCUGCCGGCUCCAUCUCCGACCGUGCGGCCGCAGCUCCAACCGCCAUCAUCGGGAUGUAGAGAGAAGGGAUAAAAGAGAUUAGUAUAUGUACUCACCUUGGGAAAAGACGACCGGCAUGAUGUCGAUCUUCGUCGGCGGCUCGAUGAGCCUUGCCCGGCUGUGUACGGGAGUCUCGGCCGCCUGUGCGAGCACUCCCGUAUGGCGCGUGCGUCGGGAGUAGCCUUGGGCUCCUGUCCCUGUUGGAUCUGCUGGUGGGUAGAUGGAUGGAUGUGUUGCCUGAUGCCGGAGGUGCGUGUUCGUCUCCCUCUGGCCGUCCCUUCCCUCCUGGCCC